rnacentral:snoRNA from 1 species
UGGACCAAUGAUGGGAAUGUGUUACAAACCCCAAAUUAUGUUUAAUCUAAAUCAGCACAACUGAGGUCAUU